UACGUAGGGGGGCAAGCGUUGUCCGGAAUCAUUGGGCGUAAAGCGCGUGUAGGCGGUUCGAUAAGUCUGCUGUGAAAGUCCAGGGCUCAACCCUGGGAUGCCGGUGGAUACUGUCGGGCUCGAGUCCGGAAGAGGAGUGUGGAAUUCCUAGUGUAGCGGUGAAAUGCGCAGAUAUCAGGAGGAACACCAAUGGCGAAGGCAGCACUCUGGGACGUGACUGACGCUGAGACGCGAAAGCGUGGGAGCAAACAGG
rnacentral:rRNA from 1 species